rnacentral:tRNA from 1 species
UCCUGGCUAGCUCAGUAGAUAGAGCAUAUGACUCUUGAUCUCAGGGUUGUGAGUUCAAGCCUCAUGUUGGGCG